UACGUAGGGGGCUAGCGUUGUCCGGAUUUAUUGGGCGUAAAGGGCGCGUAGGCGGCCACCGCAAGUCGACUGUGAAAUCCCCGGGCUUAACCCGGAAAGGUCAGCCGAUACUGCGGGGCUAGAGUGCAGAAGGGGCAACUGGAAUUCUCGGUGUAGCGGUGAAAUGCGUAGAUAUCAGGAAGAACACCCGUGGCUAAGGCGGCUCUCUAGUACGGUACUGACGCUGAGACGCGAAAGCGUGGGGAGCGAACAGG
rnacentral:rRNA from 1 species